GUGUUCACUUUGGCAGCACAUAUGCUGAAAUUAGAAUAAUACAGAGAAGAUUAUCAUGGCCUCUGUGCAAAGAUAACACACAAAUUCAUGAAGCUGUCCAUAUUUUU
ensembl:snRNA U6 U6 spliceosomal RNA